UGCACACAGGGGAAAUACUCUAGACAGCCACAGGCUUAUGCAUUUCGCUAGGCAACAGGGUCUUGAUAAGCAACAUAAUCUUAUGGAGGUGCUCUCACUUGGCUACUUCACUCAGGCAAAAUUUAUUGGUGACAAAUUGUCAGAUUGAUUGCUGCUCAUUCUCUCUCAAUCGCGCGCUAUAGUCUGCCCCCUCAAUCUUUGCCUUUUAUCAACGCCACCACCAAGGCUUACAUCAGUGAUACUUCAAAUGAAUGUAGUAGCAACUUAUCAAGUGAACAAGGUGGUGAUUCUACAAAGUUUCAAAAAGUUGAUGUUCAAAGCAAUGUGCAACUCACACCAACAUCUAUGCUCAAGGAAAACAAAAGGACAUAUUUAGUGACUAUUACAAAGCAACAAAGGAAGAAGAUACAAAAAACACUUUUUAAAGUUUUUUUUUUCAAUUUAUUUGAAAUAAUGAUUAAGUAGUUCUUUAAAUUUGUGUUUCAUACAUUUUAUGGAUAAUUGAGGAUGUUAAAGAUUUAAUUCUUCAUUUUAUUUUAAA